rnacentral:rRNA from 1 species
AGAACGAACGCUGGCGGCGUGCUUAACACAUGCAAGUCGAACGCGAAAGUUUUCUUCGGAAAGCGAGUAGAGUGGCGCACGGGUGAGUAACGCGUAAAUAAUCUACCCUUGCAUCUGGGAUAACCCACCGAAAGGUGUGCUAAUACCGGAUACGUUCUUUUAACCGCGAGGUUUUAAGAAGAAAGGUGGCCUCUGAUAUAAGCUACUGUGCAGGGAGGAGUUUGCGUACCAUUAGCUAGUUGGUAGGGUAAUGGCCUACCAAGGCAACGAUGGUUAGCGGGUCUGAGAGGAUGAUCCGCCACACUGGAACUGGAACACGGACCAGACUCCUACGGGAGGCAGCAGUGAGGAAUAUUGCGCAAUGGGGGAAACCCUGACGCAGCGACGCCGCGUGGAUGAUGAAGGCCUUCGGGUCGUAAAAUCCUGUCAGAUGGAAAGAAGUGUAUAUGUGUUAAUAUCACAUAUAUUUGACGGUACCAUCAAAGGAAGCACCGGCUAACUCCGUGCCAGCAGCCGCGGUAAUACGGAGGGUGCAAGCGUUGUUCGGAAUUACUGGGCGUAAAGCGCGCGUAGGUGGUCUGUUAUGUCAGAUGCGAAAGUCCACGGCUCAACCGUGGAAGUGCAUUUGAAACUGGCAGACUUGAGUACUGGAGGGGGUAGUGGAAUUCCCGGUGUAGAGGUGAAAUUCGUAGAUAUCGGGAGGAAUACCGGUGGCGAAGGCGACUACCUGGCCAGAUACUGACACUGAGGUGCGAAAGCGUGGGGAGCGAACAGGAUUAGAUACCCUGGUAGUCCACGCCGUAAACGAUGUCAACUAGGUGUUGGGAUGGUUAAUCGUCUCAUUGCCGCAGCUAACGCAUUAAGUUGACCGCCUGGGGAGUACGGUCGCAAGAUUAAAACUCAAAGGAAUUGACGGGGGCCCGCACAAGCGG